AAGAGAAAAGUGUGAAAAUUCAAGGAAACAAGUGAAAAAAAAGGUGGUGAGUCCUCCGAUAAAGGCAAACAAAUUGCAUCCGAUGACCAGUAGUCAGAGUAUUUCAAAAAUUCACACUCUAAACAUUUGGGCUGAGCUCUAUGGACUAGCUUAUUAGAGGGGCACAGAAUCCUGACAUAUUUAACCUCAGUUGGAGAGGCGAGUAUGGUAACUCCUAAGGCUCAGUAUAGGCUAUAGAUAUCUAAUAUCGUCAAAGGCUACAGUUGGCUUUACUUCUUCAAAAACUUAUAAAGAAGGAAGCUUUGGUGUGUAACAUCUGGUGCCGAAGCUUUGACCUUGGCAUGUAACAUCUAGUACUGAAGCUUUGACCUUGGCGUGUAAUAUCUUCUGCUUUGGCUUUAGUGCACGUAACAUAUAGUGCUAAAGUUUUGACCUUGAUGUGUAACAUUUAAUGCUGAAGCUUUGACCUUGGCAUGUAACAUCUGGUACUGAAGCGUUAACCUUGGCCUGUAACAUCUUCUGCUUUGGCUUAAGUGCAUGUAACAUGUAGUGCUGAAGUUUUGGCCUUGAUGUGUAACAUUUGGUGCUGAAGUUUUAACCUUUGCAUGUAAUAUUUGCUACUAAAGUUUUGAUGUGUAACAUCUUCUGCUUUGGCUUUGGCAAGUAACAUCUGGUGAUAAAGCUUUGGCCUUGGCAUGUAACAUCUUAUGCUGAAACUUUGACAUUAGCGUAUAACAUUUGUUGCUGAAAAUUUUAAUGUGCAACAUCUUCUGCUAAAGCGUGU